CUGUUGUUCCCUUGGUUGCUCAGUUAGGUUUUGGACUUUAUGAGUUAGGCUUUCCAGUGCUUGCAAAAUGUGUGGAGAUUGGGCUGCCAGAAAUUGUAAUCUUACUAGUAUUUUCACAGUACAUUCCUCACGUGAUGAAAGGAGAAAAGCCUAU